rnacentral:rRNA from 1 species
UUUUAGUUGAGAGUUUGAUCCUGGCUCAGGAUGAACGCUGGCGGCGUGCCUAACACAUGCAAGUUGAGCGAUUUACUUCGGUAAAGAGCGGCGGACGGGUGAGUAACGCGUGGGUAACCUACCCUGUACACACGGAUAACAUACCGAAAGGUAUGCUAAUACGGGAUAAUAUAUUUG